rnacentral:sRNA from 1 species
UUGAUUAUGUGUACAUAACUUUAAAAUUCAAUAAGCGUUCAACAAUAUUUGAUUUUUUGUCAAACGUACAUUUUAUUUAAGCUGUUUCUCUUUAGAGAACAUUGCGUUUGAAAUUGCUGACAUAAUUGCUGAUAAGAAGAUCAGGCUUAGACAUUUUAAUUGGUGAGUUGAGAAAACGAACUGUAACCUCGUUGUAAUAUGUCCAAUUAAAAGAGGCGAUUUCGGACUAGGAUCUACAGAUAUGUUCAAAAAGAUCUACAUAUAUGAUAACAUUAUCUUUUGGUGAUAUUCACUGAUAUAUAUGAGACAUGCCGCUAUUAUGAGAUAAGGUUGUUAUAUUGAGAAAAGGUUGUAAAUAGACUAAAGAUCUUGUCUCCUGUUCACGGCAAUAGCUUUUGUAAGGAGGAUAUACUCGAUUAUUUGAACUGAAAUUCCGUAUAAGCCCCCAUUGUAGAACCGGUUUGCUGAAUGGAUUCACAUAUUAAAGCUUGCUGAAAUUAAAGGCUUAACUCUAGUUUAGUAAAAACUCUUCUAUUUUUUCGAAAUUUUUUCCAGUGAGGUAUAUAUAAAGUUUGGCUUCAAUUGAAUCUACAUCCAGCCGUCGGAAAAAUUUGGACUUAUAUUAAAUUAAAGGCCUAUGGACGGAUCGAAUUUUUAUUAUGGGUACCUAUAUUUAUCGGUGGCAAUAUCGGACUACCCCCUCAAGUUCCGUUCCCACAAAGUGUCAAAAUUUUGCAUAAUUAUAACCUUUAUAAAAUGUGAAAUAAAA